CGCUCUGAGCUGUGCGGAGUGUCAGAACACAGGCAGCGAUCUCUCCUCCGUCCUUUUGUCGUGAAAAUCAGGAGCGGCCUGCAUCCGUCAGUUCUGGGACCGGGGCUGAGGCAGGCAUCAGGUUUUCGGGACCUUGCGAGGAAAAAAAAACACCCUGUCUCAGCCCAUUCCGUCUGGAUAAACAGGAAGAACGAACAGCCCAGCAAACAGCGGGACCCCAGGUCUACACAGGGCUUGCGCUGAAUGCUAACAAGCUAGGACUCGUCCUUCGCUCACAGUUAUACGCCAGUGUUAAAGGAGUCUGAAGGGAGCCAGGUUCUGACGAGAGACGUCCCGGCUCGGAAUUUGAAGAUUUUCCUGAAACGGGAGUUGGAUUUCAC